rnacentral:rRNA from 1 species
CCUACGGGAGGCACCAGUGGGGAAUAUUGCACAAUGGGCGCAAGCCUGAUGCAGCCAUGCCGCGUGUAUGAAGAAGGCCUUCGGGUUGUAAAGUACUUUCAGCGGGGAGGAAGGUGUUGUGGUUAAUAACCGCAGCAAUUGACGUUACCCGCAGAAGAAGCACCGGCUAACUCCGUGCCAGCAGCCGCGGUAAUACGGAGGGUGCAAGCGUUAAUCGGAAUUACUGGGCGUAAAGCGCACGCAGGCGGUCUGUCAAGUCGGAUGUGAAAUCCCCGGGCUCAACCUGGGAACUGCAUUCGAAACUGGCAGGCUAGAGUCUUGUAGAGGGGGGUAGAAUUCCAUGUGUAGCGGUGAAAUGCGUAGAUAUAUGGAGGAACACCAGUGGCGAAGGCGACUCUCUGGUCUGUAACUGACGCUGAGGCUCGAAAGCGUGGGGAGCAAACAGGAUUAGAUACCCCUGUAGUC